rnacentral:tRNA from 1 species
UUAGCUCAGUGGUAGAGCACUUGCCUAUUAUGUAUGAGGUCCUGGGUUAAAUCCCCAUA